rnacentral:misc_RNA from 1 species
GGAAGUAAAAGCCGUAACAAGGUUUCCGUAGGUGAACCUGCGGAAGGAUCAUUAAUGAGUUGUCAUGGGGUUCGAUGCUGGCAGCCAAUUUUUGGAUGCAUGUGCUUGCCCUAACAAUCAUCUUCCAAACACCUGUGCACAUUUUUGAGGGAGUCUUGAGUUGGUUGCCGCUCUUGGGUGAUUUUCUCACAUUCCCUUAAAUCAUUAUACGCUGUUAACAAUGUUGAACGUGCUCUGUGCCGCAAGGCUAUUAAUAUAAUACAACUUUUAACAACGGAUCUCUUGGCUCUC